rnacentral:rRNA from 1 species
AAUAUGGGACAAUGGGGGCAACCCUGAUCCAGCCAUGCCGCGGGUGUGAAGAAGGUCNNNGGAUUNUNAAGAACUUUAUGUUGNGANNAAGGGCUGUAGGGUAAUACACUGAAGUUUUGACGUUACCAACAGAAGCAGCACCGGCUACCUCUGUGCUAGCAGCCGCAGUACUACCGAGGGUGCAAGCGUUAAUCGGAAUUACUGGGCGUAAAGCGCGCGUAGGUGGUUCAGUAAGAUGGGUGUGAAAUCCCCGGGCUUAACCUGGGAACUGCUUUCAUAACUGCUGAGCUAGAGUACGGUAGAGGGUAGUGGAAUUUCCUGUGUAGCGGUGAAAUGCGUAGAUAUAGGAAGGAACACCAGUGGCGAAGGCGACUACCUGGACUGAUACUGACACUGAGGUGCGAAAGCGUGGGGAGCAAAC